UACGUAGGAGGCAAACGUUGUCCGGAUUUACUGGGUGUAAAGGGUGCUCAGGCGGUCUUGUAAGUUAGAAGUGAAAUCUCAGAGCUUAACUCUGAAACUGCUUUUAAUACUGCAGGGCUUGAGUGCAGAAGAGGCGGAUGGAAUUUCUGGUGUAGCAGUGAAAUGCGUAGAUAUCAGAAAGAACACCAGUGGCGAAGGCGGUCCGCUGGUCUGUCACUGACGCUAAAGCACGAAAGCGUGGGGAGCAAACAGGAUUAGAUACCCUGGUAGUCCACGCCUUAAACGAUGAAUACUAGACGUUGGGAUAAAACUCAGUGUCGCAGCUAACGCAUUAAGUAUUCCACCUGGGGAGUACGAUCGCAAGGUUGAA
rnacentral:rRNA from 1 species